rnacentral:lncRNA from 1 species
AGCUGUAGCCACAUAGUCUCCGUAGCUUCAGCUUAAAUUCGAACUGCAGACAAAUGAAGAUAUGGUUUCCUAAAGGAGAAAAACACAGAGAGAGAAUGCAACAACCCUGCCAAUGCUCAUUUUCAUGAGAGAGAACUUCAUUCAGUCACAGUAUGUGACACAGAAGCCAUGUCUCAAGCUCAGCUUGUUAUGAUGCAUUGAUUCUUCAUGUCUAAAAUAAAGACUCUCUAGCCGUUCUGUUCAACCAGAAUGUAUUAUUAUGAAUGGAGUAUACAAUCUCCUGUGCUUCUUAUACACUAACAUGGUUCUAGGUACAAUAGUUAUUCUGUUGCCAGAGGAGGAUAAACACAAAUCACAGCUUUGCAGCUAGCCCAGUGCAAUCAGUUUUACUCUAUUAAAAGGAAGAGAACCUAAAGGGUUAUUAAUUAAAGUU